rnacentral:ncRNA from 2 species
AAAACAUUAAGAGUGGCGUGAGGGUUCUGACCCGAUGACCGCCCGGCAACCUGGCGAAGCCGCCAAGGUGCCAAGGUCAGCCCGGAAACGGGGACGAUGUGGC